ensembl:Y_RNA Y_RNA Y RNA
GGCUGGUCCAAAGGUAGUGAGUUAACUCAAUUGAUUGUUCACAGUCAGUUACAGAUCGAACUCCUUGUUCUACUCUCUCCCCCCUUCUCACGACUGCACUUGUCUUAAA